rnacentral:rRNA from 1 species
CAGGAUGAACGCUGGCGGCGUGCUUAACACAUGCAAGUCGAACGGAGUAAUAUGAAGUUUCGGACGGAUAUACUAGUGGCGGACGGGUGAGUAACGCGUGGGUAACCUACCUCAUACAGGGGGAUAACAGUUGGAAACGACUGCUAACACCGCAUAACAAGUUGGGACCGCAUGAUCCUAACUUCAAAUAUUUAUAGGUAUGAGAUGGGCCCGCGUCUGAUUAGCUAGUUGGUGGGGUAAUGGCCUACCAAGGCGACGAUCAGUAGCCGGCUUGAGAGAGUGACCGGCCACAUUGGGACUGAGACACGGCCCAAACUCCUACGGGAGGCAGCAGUGGGGAAUAUUGGACAACGGGGGCAACCCUGAUCCAGCGAACCGCCGCGUGAGUGAAGAAGUAUUUCGGUAUGUAAAGCUCUAUCAGCAGGGAAGAUAAUGACAGUACCUGACUAAGAAGCCCCGGCUAACUACGUGCCAGCCGCUGC